CCUACGGGUGGCAGCAGUGGGGAAUAUUGCACAAUGGGGGAAACCCUGAUGCAGCGACGCCGCGUGAGUGAAGAAGUCAUUCGUUAUGUAAAGCUCUAUCAGCAGGGAAGAAAAUGACGGUACCUGAGUAAGAAGCCCCGGCUAACUACGUGCCAGCAGCCGCGGUAAUACGUAGGGGGCAAGCGUUAUCCGGAUUUACUGGGUGUAAAGGGAGCGUAGACGGCUGUGCAAGUCUGGAGUGAAAGGCGGGAGCUCAACUGCCGGACUGCUUUGGAAACUGGCGGGCUAGAGUGCGGGAGGGGUAAGUGGAAUUCCUAGUGGAGCGGUGAAAUGCGUAGAUAUUAGGAGGAACACCAGUGGCGAAGGCGGCUUACUGGACUGUAACUGACGUUGAGGCUCGAAAGCGUGGGGAGCAAACAGGAUUAGAUACCCCAGUAGUC
rnacentral:rRNA from 1 species